AGAUUGGUUCUCAAUUAGAGGCAGCUGUUUAUCGUUGUCUCUGAUUGGGAACCAUAUUUAGGCAGCCAUCUUCUUUGGGCAUUUCGUGGGUUAUUGUCUAUGUGUAGUUGCCUGUACUCGGUGUCAUAGCGUCACGGUCUGUUGUUUUUGUUUAAUGCAAUAGAAUCCUACUCUAAUGCUCUAUAUUGCACAGUUAGUUUUGCAUACUAAUAAGUCUUACAUAGUUUGUUUUGGUAUGUAACAUUGAAAGUGGCACAUUUUUCUCUAACUGAAACAAUUCCUAAAGUAGAGCGAAAUCUUAAUUGUUUUAACUAAAGGGAAAAACUGCUCUUCUGCAUUGGCUGAUUUUCCUUCUUCUCAGCAGUCAGGGGAGCUACACGCCCACUGGUUAACGAGGAAAUACUUUAUUUAUAUUGUACGGGAUGCUUGUCAAAUAGAUACAUUGCCCUUCGUCUGUUCAAAAAGGACCAAGUUGUUGCGAUCACAAUACCAACCAGAGGGCAAAAAUAUCUUGAAAGACUGGUUGCGAGCAGCUUUUAGUGAGUGGUAAUGAGGUGACCAAUAGUGGUUGCAAUUGAGAUCAGCUAUGCAGGUGAAUUUAUGCUUAUUAAUGGUUUAACGAGACAGCAGCUGGCGAUAAUAAGGAUGCUGCCUUUUGAAGCAGAAUUUCUAGGGUGGGGUAGGGAUGUCCCAAGGCUACCAGACAGCACGGACCUAAUUUAUCGUUAGGACCUCAACAUUGGCGUGUCACUAUCCCACAACACCUUGUGGCGCAGCGAACAAUUUCUGAAUUAAUGGCAGACAGAAGUCCUCGCUUGGGAUACCAUUUUCCAGAAGAAUAAGGAAUAACUUCAUGAAAUGUUGACGGACAUCCCACCCUGACACCCUGCAGAUGUAAAUAACUUGGUGUUAACCUCCCAGGCACCAGGAAAUCACCAUAUCCAAGGAUAUUAUUCAGAACACCACAAUGUUAGAUAGAAAUAGAUUUGAUUAUCAUGCAAAUUUGUUAGGACAUUGUAAUGUAUGAUGUGCAUUCUAAAAUGGAGAUGUGAUUUCUGUCCCAGGGAAUAGCAUUGUGUGCAACUUUUCAAUUCGGAUCACAAUUAGUUGAAUUAGGUGUUACUGAAGGGCUGGAACAAAAACUUAGGACUUAUGCACAGAUACAGGAAAACUUGUUAAGAUUAUUCUAAAUUGUAAGUGUUGAUGUCUCCACGUUUCUGGUUUUGAGGCUUGGGCAUCUAGUAUCUGCAGUUCAUCUGUCUAAUCCCCUGCAAGGAGAGAGAAAGGCUUCAAUACUAUUACAAUGCUCUAUUCAUUUGAUUGAAAGUAUUCAUGUUUUAUAUGCAUUCAUAUCAUUUUAUUAGAUAUAUUAUCCUUCAUCAAAUGCCAGUAUUUGUUUUGUAUCCAAAGCAUCUAGUUUAUAUUAGGAUGAAGUAGCCUAGGCCUCUAAUCUAGUUAGAUUGCAUCAUAUCACUUUUCAAUAAAUAUCAAACCA